GCGUAUUCCUAUAGUCGAGACAGGAUUCUGUGACAGCCUGAUUUUUGGCCCUUUCUUUUUCUUUUGUUUUUCCGAGGUUUUUGCCUCAGUUUUCUUUUUCCGUGGCUUUAUGGUCUGGAAACUGAAGAAGAUGACCUCUUCUUUGCUUUCAGAGUGGCUUGUCAUAUCCAAAUCCUCCCCUAGAUCCUGUCAUUUCCAUCCUAGCCCAAAUCCCAAUAUUCUUUUUAUUGGGAAUAUUCCUUUUCUAUUAAAGGAAUAACUCCAAUUGCCCUAGGUUGUGAAGCAGCCUAUAUUUCCCUCACUCCUAAAAUUCCCAAAUAAUUCUCAUAAAUUGUUUGGGGCAUAUAUUGAUCAAAUAUGGCAAAACUUUUCAUUUCCAUGUUCAAAAAUAAUCCUCCAAUAAUUCAUUUCCUAUUUUGCCCUGAAUGGCACUUUGUGAAGGACGUGUCAUUUAUAUUUCUCAUAAUGACUCCCAACAUUUUUGGGCAUGUUUAUAUGUCCAAAUAAUUGCCUCAUGCACAAGUUCAAAUUUAUUUGCCUAGCCAAUCUUCCUCAGUGAUUUUUCAAAGUUUCUGUCAAACAGAAAGCUUUGUGAAUGAAGUACUAGCUAGGAGUACCCAAAUGAGUUGAACUUUUUCACACUCCUUAAUGUGCUCAUAUUAACCCCCUUCACCCAUUUUCAGCCCCAUCUAAUCAUCUAUGUGAGCACAGGAGCAAAUCUUUGUUUCUGGCAAUAUUUUCAGGUUGUGAAGCAAGUAUAUUUUAUACUGAUUCAAAAAUCCUGAUAAAUUACCAGAUAAUUCUUAUACCCAUAAAACAUCUCUCCACCCAUUUUGGCAUCAUUUAAAUGAUCCAUUUGACCACCAUAAUUAUUUCAAGUUUCUGGACAGAAAUGAUGUUUGUGAAGCAAGUGCCAUUUUGGUUUGUCCAUUUGGCCUAAGCUUUUUACAGCAUCUUUAUAUGUCCAUAUCAUGAGGAUUUGCCAAGUUUCAUCCCAUUCCAUAACUCCAUGUGAGUGCACCAUCAUGAUCUUCAUUUCUGGACCAAGUAUGCAGUUGUGAAGCAACUGCAGUAACUCUUGAUCCUUUUACCCUCCAAACCUCCGGGACCAUAGUACCUCCAUAGAUAAACCCCCCAGACAGCUUCUCUGGUUUCAAGUUACUCCCUGUUGACCACAUUGAGCUGGUAAAGUUUACUGCAGUAAACUUCAGAGCUCACUAACUAUUUACCCAGAGCCUCUUUCACCUAGUUACCACCGUAGCUACAUCUUACCCAGGAGCGACUAACCCACAGACAUGGUUUGGCAUCACUUGUGGCACUGUGUGCACAAGUGCACGCGGUGACCACCGCUUUGGCAUGCAAUGGCCGCGUCCAGAUUGGUUUCUUGCUCGGGCCCCUCCUCCUCUCGUCGUCUUCGCGCUCGUGAGCGUGUCGAACAGCUGGCCCGCGUCGUCGCCGUCCUCCUGGAGCCCUCUCCCGCUCCGUCAGACCCUCCUUCAGCGCUCGUCGCCGCUCGCCCACGGGAGCUCUGUGGCCGACAGCGCAUUAAUGGCGCUCGGCUUCUUCCUCUGCUUCCCCUCGGCCCCUCCUGCCCCGUGCAGCUCUCCCCUGUGCCUCCUGCGUCGUCUACCUCCGAGUCCAUGCGCGCGGGCACGCGUCCGUGGCGCCGGCCACGCGUCCACGGCGACGCCAGCGCGGCUCCCUCUCGCCCGGCUAUAUAUAGCCAUCCCCCGAGCCUCCCGAGCUCACCACUAGCCUCCUGCACCUCCUCUAGCCCCGCCUAGCUUCUCCCCCGAGCUCGAGGAGCUCUCUGUGCCCCUCACCAUCGCCAUGGCCGCCGCCCCUGUCCACUUCGAUUCCGCCGACCCUGACCUUCUCCCUCCGCUCCACCACUUCCCGAGGCCUCCACCACCUCUACCGAACCACCUCGUCACCUCUGCUCCUCCUCAAGUGGCUUGUAGCCACGAGCCCACCGGUGGCCGACGGCAUGCUCCGCCGCGGUCGGCGUUCUGCUCUUCCCCAAGAUCCACGGCGGUCGAGACCUACAUGGGCGUGCGCGCCUUGGUCUCCUGAACCCGCCGGUAGGUCGGGCUCCGUCUGAGGUGACCUGUGCCGCCGGCAAUCACCGUCGGGGUGAGCUCCUCCCUCGGCCAGGCGCGCGUACGCGGGAGGAAGAAGAAGGGAGCCAGGACAGAGAUGGAUAAGGCGGACCCCACCUGUAAGCCUCUAAGCCCCCGGCCCCGCCUUGCCACGCUGAAUAAGUGGAGGCGUAUUCAUGGGAAUACGUCUCUCCCGCUAGAAGGCGUAGCAACGUUCUGCUUCAGCACAGAAUGCGUUUUCCCGGUUCUGAAAUGGUAUUUCUAACUUUGCGCUUCUGCCUUAUCCACUCAGGGACUUGUUUGUGAUGAAAUUUUUGCAGAAAAGUCCCUGAACUUCAAGUCUCCAUAUCUUUUUAUCCGUAUCUCCAAAUGAGCCCCUCCGAGAGAGAACUGUUUCCGGCAAAUCUUUCCGCGGCUUCACCCACUUCUCCUUGGUGCCUUCUUCAUCCCCAGGCAAGCCACAAUACCCACUUGCAUGAUAGUCAUGCAGUAGCCAUGGUUUUCAACUUAAAUCUUUAUAAAAGUUUGCUUGUUGAAAAGAUGGUUAUCGUUGUUCUAGUGAUGUUCAGAUUUGCAUGUUCACUUUUGUGCUAUGUUGUUUUGUACUCUGUGAUCAUGUUCUACCUGCUAGUAUUACCUUUCAUAUGUUUAUGAUUGCUAGUGGUACAUGUUGAUGUUGGUGAUGGUCAUGCUAUUCAGUAUGCCAUGUUCAGUGGAUAUGAGUUAUUGUUGA